CAAACCUGAAACAGCCGACCAAUUAAGCAACUACUCAUUUUGAAAUCUGCCAAUAGUUAAAAAUUUUCCUUCACUUUGUGGCGCCAAGGUAUGGAUAAUCCAUCUACAGACAGAUCAAGACCAUGCACAAUGUGAAUAUCCCUAAAUUAUGUCUCAGAUGAGCAAUCAUAUGCAAGGAGAAAUCACAUUUUAAAAGCAUGUAUUUUCAGCCCAAGGCCAACCUGCUCACUUUUAAUGGGACUGGUCAUUGUUUGAUGUUGUUAAAUCUUGAGAGCUACUGGACAGGGCACAGAAACAAAUGGUGCAUAAAAGUAGUUCUACAAAAUUGUUUGCUAUCCAUAACUUUAAAUCCACGUUUAGCCCCACUCUGCUAGGCCUCCCCUUCCCAAUUACAAAUCAGCCAAUGUCAAAAAACAGAUGAAUUAAAUACGUGAAAAAGGAGGGAAAAAGAAGGAAGCAAUGAAAAGGAAAAAAUAAAAAUAAAAAACAAAGGGGGAAGGGGAAAAUAUUCCAGAAGCUCCCUUACUCUUUGAACAUACUGACCACUUCAUGGCACAACGCUCCUACUCAUGACUGAGGAAAUUAUUUUUUUAAGUAAUGCAGAACUGUAAAAGCUAAGACAAUAGUGAGCAAGGCCACCUUCCAAGGCCACCUACAAUGAAAGAACUGACUUUUUACUAUCUUUCAUUGUAAUUUACACAGGAAGAGGUGGCAAAAUGGAAUCUAAGCUGUUUAGCCUGGAUGAAUUUUUAUUGUUGUUGAGUCAUACACUUUUCUUAGACUUUCAUCUGGACAAGCUUGGUGAAAACUAUUACAGGUUCUACACAGAUGGCCUCAUUUAAGCAUAAGGUAAGGUACUCACACAACAAAUGUGAAACAGCUCAGAAAUUCAUCUUAUUCUUACCUGAGACUAUUGAGAUCAAGAUCAUCUGUAUCGAAGUCCAGAAGAGGCUGUGGGGUGUCACUGGGACCAUGCGACUGCAGCACUGACGAACUGGAUGAAAUGACAGUGGUUUGGCCAGAGGGAUGAAUUGUUUUGAACUGGAACUGUGGGCCCAUCCACAGGCGCCGAUGAGGCCCGGUGUGAGUCACUAUUUCAACCUGUGGGAAUAUGGGAAACGGUCAACACAAAACUGCAACCUAAUACACUGAGUGGUUCUUUCAGUGCACUGAAGCCCCAGAAUCUUGUUGUUCUCAAGCAAAAAAAGCAUUUUGUGCCAUCAGUUCAGGGAAAAACUGAAUUUCAGAACAUCUUUGUUAGAGAAAGGAUGCUGUAGCCAAAGCCAAGAGCUUCUUGAAGAGCUGUGAAGGCUCUUGAACCAUCUGCUUUAGGACACUGCACCCAGUUCUGAAAACUGCUCAAGAGGCUGUCAGUCCAUCCUGGCCACCUUCACCUGGUCCUGUUCAUUCCUCCCUCUGCCAUGACAAAAUGCAUGCUGUAACUCAACUGCUAAACGUCUCCUGCUGUGGCAGCAAAUAGGGGAUCACGGUUCUGCCUGCACCUACCUGAAGUGGACAGAGGAAUUGAAAGUUAAUUUUCCCCAAAUUUUCUUGUCAGUACCUUCAAUCCUGACUGGGACACGGGAUACACUUUUUAAAAGCAAGCAGUUACAGCUAUGUUCCGGCUGCUUUCUAAAAGUUCACACAUUAAACAGCACCGCUUCACAUGUAUAUAGUGCGAACUGUAUUUCAAAUCAAAGCUUGUAAUUAUUGUUGGCAUAUCCGAGGAAACUGCUGGCAGAGACCAUCUUGCUGGAAAGCAACAAGAUUUGUAACAGAGCAAUGCGAAGUGCACCGUGAGACACUGAGCACCUCGGGUCACAUUCAUUACUAUGCUGAUGGCAGGCAAGCAUGGAUGUGCAACACGGAGCUUAGGAGGGCUGACACGCUGAUUUAACUGAAAUUCUGACAAUUAAAACAAAGCUAAGGGUGUUUGCUUGCCAUGAAUAACCACACGUACUUUAUAUUAUAGGUGCAUAUGAGAUCUGUGGGCAUGUUUACGAGUGGAUAUACACACAAACACAGACAGAAGUGUCACAGUUCCGUGCCUACUUCCAAAAGGCACAGAGAAUACAGAGGGUGUACCUAAGAAACAAUAAUUUCAAAUACUCAGAUUUUCCUUUAGGUAUUGGCUUUCAAUGAAACUAGAUAUAAACUUGAGAAAAUAAGUUACAUUUCAGUAAAUGCAUCCAAAAUGCUUUUGAAAAAUGUCUUUUUAUGCUGAUAGUUCUAUACCUCAUGAGUACCAACUUUUACAGACUGAAAUAUGUCAACUCUAGGAAUACAAACAACCACGGGAAUUUAAGAAUGUAACAUUUUCAGCAAUGUACAUGAUCAGGAUUGGGCCUUGUAAACAGAAGAGCAAACAACGUUGCUCAGUAAUACAAUUAAAAAAAAUAAAACAGCCUUUAAAGAUCAGAAGCAGGAAAUGUGAAAUGAAAAUAUUAAGCUCUGGUGAACUCAUAUUUUUAAGAUGACAAAAAUGGACUGCUAAAUUUCUAUAAAUUUUUGCUGAAACAAUGAUUAGCUUCACACAAAGAAUGUAAUUUAGUAAGCACGUUCAUCAAGAUUUAUUUCUGUAUCUCUAUGACAUGCAAGUGCAUCUUACAGUUUUCUUUACUCUUAUAUAUGUGCAUUAAUACUGAUUCUUAAUUCUUUAAGAAACAAUUUUAAACACUGAAUUAUGUUCUAAGUCCUCUGCUAACGUAAAAUGACAAAUGCACAGCCUAUUUAGCACUAUUUCCAUCUUUGCAUUUAUCUUAGCGUAACUCAGAUCGACUGUAGAUGUUUCUGAGUCAAGUAGCUUUUAUGUAGCAGUGUAAAUUAGGCCACAGAUAAAGUAAUCUGUAUAUUUUAAGCUUGAAACCAUCAGUGUCACAGAGCCGAGAGGUAAACAGAUGCCUUUGCAAUUUUACUGAGGCUAUGGCCAGAUGUUCCUAUUCACUCUCCUGUUGUGUGCAGGACAAACAUAUUGUAUCUACUUCACACUGACAGCACACAU